rnacentral:rRNA from 1 species
AUUGAACGCUGGCGGCAGGCCUAACACAUGCAAGUCGAACGAGUGGCGGACGGGUGAGUAAUGUCUGGGAAACUGCCCGAUGGAGGGGGAUAACUACUGGAAACGGUAGCUAAUACCGCAUACCAUCGGAUGUGCCCAGAUGGGAUUAGCUAGUAGGUGGGGUAAUGGCUCACCUAGGCGACGAUCCCUAGCUGGUCUGGGAGGAUGACCAGCCACACUGGAACUGAGAAACGGUCGAACCUCCUACGGAAGGCAGCAGUGGGGAAUAUGGCACAAUGGGCGCAAGCCUGAUGCAGCCAUGCCGCGGGUGUGAAGAAGGCCUUCGGGUUGGAAAGCACUGUCAGCGGGGAGGCGUUACCCGCAGAAGAAGCACCGGCUAACUCCGUGCCAGCAGCCGCGGUAAUAC